rnacentral:rRNA from 1 species
CACGUAGGGCGCAAGCGUUGUCCGGAAUUAUUGGGCGUAAAGAGCUCGUAGGCGGUCUGUUGCGUCCGUUGUGAAAACCCGGGGCUUAACCCCUGGCUUGCAGUGGAUACGGACAGACUAGAGGUAGGUAGGGGAGAAUGGAAUUCCCGGUGUAGCGGUGAAAUGCGCAGAUAUCGGGAGGAACACCGGUGGCGAAGGCGGUUCUCUGGGCCUUACCUGACGCUGAGGAGCGAAAGCGUGGGGAGCGAACAGG